AUACGGAGGGUCCAAGCGUUAUCCGGAUUCAUUGGGUUUAAAGGGUGCGCAGGCGGGCUUGUAAGUCAGUGGUGAAAUACUGCCGCUUAACGGUAGAACUGCCAUUGAUACUGCAAGUCUUGAAUAUGGUUGAGGUAGGCGGAAUGUGUUGUGUAGCGGUGAAAUGCAUAGAUAUGACACAGAACGCCAAUUGCGAAGGCAGCUUACUAAGCCAUUAUUGACGCUGAGGCACGAAAGCGUGGGGAGCGAACAGGAUUAGAUACCCCAGUAGUCC
rnacentral:rRNA from 1 species